AACGAACGCUGGCGGCAGGCCUAACACAUGCAAGUCGAGCGGAUCCUUCGGGAUUAGCGGCGGACGGGUGAGUAACGCGUGGGAAUAUGCCCUUCUCUACGGAAUAGCCUCGGGAAACUGGGAGUAAUACCGUAUACGCCCUACGGGGGAAAGAUUUAUCGGAGAAGGAUUAGCCCGCGUUGGAUUAGGUAGUUGGUGGGGUAAUGGCCUACAAGCCUACGAUCCAUAGCUGGUUUGAGAGGAUGAUCAGCCACACUGGGACUGAGACACGGCCCAGACUCCUACGGGAGGCAGCAGUGGGGAAUCUUAGACAAUGGGGGAAACCCUGAUCUAGCCAUGCCGCGUGAGUGAUGAAGGCCUUAGGGUUGUAAAGCUCUUUCAGCUGGGAAGAUAAUGACGGUACCAGCAGAAGAAGCCCCGGCUAACUCCGUGCCAGCCGCCGCGGUAAGAC
rnacentral:rRNA from 1 species